rnacentral:rRNA from 1 species
UACGUAGGGGGCAAGCGUUAUCCGGAUUUACUGGGUGUAAAGGGGGCGCAGACGGCGAUGCAAGCCAGGAGUGAAAGCCCGGGGCCCAACCCCGGGACUGCUCUUGGAACUGCGUGGCUGGAGUGCAGGAGGGGUAGGCGGAAUUCCUGGUGUAGCGGUGAAAUGCGUAGAUAUCAGGAGGAACACCGGUGGCGAAGGCGGCCUGCUGGACUGCAACUGACGUUGAGGCCCGAAAGCGUGGGGAGCAAACAGG